CCGGUGAUCUACCCAUGUCCAGGAUGAAACGCGGGUAAAACCGCGUGGAGGUCCGAACUCACUGCAGUUGAAAAUGCAGGGGAUGAGGUGUGGGUCGGAGUGAAAGGCUAAUCAAACCGGGAGAUAGCUGGUUCUCGCCGAAAGAUAUUUAGGUAUCGCCUCGAGAAACUCUGUCGAGGAGGUAGAGCACUGGAUGGGCUAGGGGUCUUACCAGAUUACCAAACCCAACCAAAACUCCUAAUGCCUCGACAUUUACCUCGGGAGUCAGGCUGUGGGAGCUAAGUUCCAUGGCCAAAAGGGAAAGAGCCCAGACCGCCAGCUAAGGUCCCUAAGUCGUUGCUAAGUGGGAAAGGAUGUGGAAGCACACAGACAACCAGGAGGUUGGCUUAGAAGCAGCCAUCCUUUAAAGAAAGCGUAAUAGCUCACUGGUCAAGUGAAUCCGCGCCAAAAAUUUAACGGGGCUUAAGUAACGCACCGAAGCU
rnacentral:rRNA from 1 species